ensembl:lncRNA
GCACUGUUGGAGCUAGGAACACAAGCAUUUAGUUAGAUAUUACUGCACUGGUGGAGCUAGGAACACAAGCAUUUAGUUAGAUAUUACUGCACUGGUGGAGCUAGGAACACAAGCAUUUAGUUAGAUACUACUGCACUGCUAGGAACACAAGCAUUUAGUUAGAUACUACUGCACUGGUGGAGCUAGGAACACAAGCAUUUAGUUAGAUACUACUGCACUGCUAGGAACACAAGCAUUUAGUUAGAUACUACUGCACUGUUGGAGCUAGGAACACAAGCAUUUAGUUAGAUAUUACUGCACUGUUGGAGCUAGGAACACAAGCAUUUAGUUAGAUACUACUGCACUGUUGGAGCUAGGAACAC